UCCUGUGGGGGCUGCGCCAGGCACGGGCCGUCAUCCUCCUCCUCCUCGUCCCACGCCGCGCCGCCGAACAGCGGGUCCCGGGGCCUGCGGGAGCGCGGCACUGAGACACCGGGACGGGGGCUGUGCGGGCAGGGCCGGGCGCGGUUGCGGUACCUGCGCCGCCCCGGGAAGCCGAAGAAGCCGCGAAAGGCGUCGUAGAAGCUCAUCCCGCUCCCGGGCCCUCCCGGUGCCCCAGGCCCCGGGGUCGCGCGGUCGCAAAGCGCCGCGGCCGCAAAGCGCCGCCGGGUGUCGUGAGGCGCCGCGGGGCUGGUCCCGUGUCCCCCCGGCCGGGCCCGGGGGCAGCGGGGGCUCUGUCCUGCACCCCCGGCGUCCUGCGGCCCUGCGCUGUGCCCCCAGCUGAGCUCCGCCGGCCCAGCCCAAUGCCCUCCCGCUGCCCCACUGGGACCCACAGCACGGGGAGGUCCGGCUUUGCCCUCUCCUCCCUCCCCGAGCCCUCGGCCCCUUCACCCUGCAGCUCAGCAGCCGCUGCCGGGACACUCGGGCCUUCCUGCCACCCUCAUGGUCCCGCUGCCCUCCCCAGCGCCCGAGACUCCCCUCCCUGACAGCCGAGCCUGUCCCGACCCCCUCCUGGGGACGUGGGGGCUGGGGUGGAGCCCCCAAGCUCCGAGAGGAGCAGCGGAAGGGAAAAAGGGGAAGGUGGGAAUCUCGGGGAGAAGGACUGUGCCAUUGUCUCUGUGCUGGGAUCCUGCUGCUGCCCCGAGCUGCAGCCAGGAAAAAAAUCCACAAAACGAGGGAACAAAAAAAAAAACCCCACAAACCAGCAAGACGGUGGGGAGAGUAAAUCCCUGCUUGGGACUGCAGCUGAAGGGACCAGGUGGAACCGAAAAAUACAAGAUCUGGACUGCAUAGAAAAAAAAAAAAAAGAAAAAACCCAACCCAAAAGCAGAAGAUACUUACAGCGUGCAAGGGGAGCAGGACCUGCACUCAGGGCCCGUGAGGAGGGGGGGCACGCAGAUGGAGAAUGUAAAAUAUGGGGGGGGCCUCUGUCAGACAGCAGUGGAGGGGGAAGGAAAUGAGAGAACUAGAGGACGGCAUGGGGUUUUUGUUUUUAUAUACAAGACACAUUUAUCCAUUAAAUUUAGAACACGGUACAAAAAAAACACUUCAACUAAUUAAUCUUACAAUGCUGCUCAUAUCAAUUACUGGUCUUAUUCCUAAUAAUAAGGGGGUUUGCUGUAGGCGACUCGCAGCUUCCACUCCUUUGGAUCUGAGAGGUUCUGGGGCAGCAGGAGGGGAGAAGGGACAGAAAGGAGUAAAAACCAAAAAAGGCCCCUACGGCAAACGGUUCAGAUCUGAAUGCAGAGAGAAAAAAAAA